CUUCCCCCCACCCACUUUUCUCAGAGCGGACCGACCUACCUAUUCCUUCUCAGCCCGUCUCCGCUUCCCCCCCACCCACUUUCCUUGGUGCGGACGGAGCCGAGGGGGCGGGGGCUCCCUCCCGGGAGCGUUUCUAGAGCUCGGAGGCAGCUAGUAGGGGUUUCAUUGUCCACAUGUUUAAAGUCUAACAGAGAAAAACAUCACUGGAUGUGAAGUUGGAGGACAGAUCCAAGUCUACAUCUACAUCCUCAUGUUGGUGACCUUGGGGCACCACUUUCAGAUAAAAACAUAGACCUGAAUGGCAUCAUCCAGUAUCCAAGGAAACCAUUACCAACAAGCAUGGGCCCUCAACUGAGAUCAAGAGGACAUGACAAGGCUUGAUAACUUCUGCCUUUAAAUGGUGGUUGCCAAUGCCUUUAAACUGAAGUCUUGAAGUCUUAGUCACCAGAAUCAAGCCAAGGCCAGCUGAAGGUGUUCAGUGCUUCUCAAAUUAUACCAAGGAAAAGUUUUUCUGCUCAGUCAGAGGAAUAAAGAGGUCUCUAAGUCCACUGCUGACAGGAAAAUCUUCAGUGGUUCCAGAGACAAGCUGCUGGAAAUCCUGCACAUUUAUCUUCUAGAAGGAAGUAAACUGAUUAGGAUAGUGGUCCCUUUAGAAAGAACCUCCCCUAAAACUUUAAAGGACUCCAAAUUAAGCCAUGUCCAUAUCUGGGACCCUAAAGUGGCUCAUAAAAGUUAGGGACUGCCUGCUUAAUGUUAGGUGAUUGCAAAAGCUUUAAGAUUCAAAGGGGGGAGUGAAGGUGGGGAAGGUGAUGGUGAAUAAAUUGUGAGAGCCUCCCAAAUAACAGGAUGUCUCUUUAAUUCCAAGCCUCAUGUUCUAUCUCAUAUUGUAUCUUUCAAUUAAAAAAAAAAAGGAAA